rnacentral:rRNA from 1 species
UGGGGAAUAUUGCGCAAUGGGGGAAACCCUGACGCAGCAACGCCGCGUGGAGGAAGAAGGUCUUCGGAUUGUAAACUCCUGUCUUCUGGGACGAAUAAUGACGGUACCAGAGGAGGAAGCCACGGCUAACUACGUGCCAGCAGCCGCGGUAAUACGUAGGUGGCGAGCGUUGUCCGGAAUUACUGGGCGUAAAGGGCGCGUAGGCGGUUUUUUAAGUCAGAUGUGAAAACCCAGGGCUUAACUUUGGGCGUGCAUUUGAAACUGGGGAACUAGAGUGCAGGAGAGGUAAGUGGAAUUCCUAGUGUAGCGGUGAAAUGCGUAGAUAUUAGGAGGAACACCAGUGGCGAAGGCGACUUACUGGACUGUAACUGACGCUGAGGCGCGAAAGCGUGGGGAGCAAACAGG